rnacentral:rRNA from 1 species
UCUACGGGAGGCAGCAGUGAGAAUAUUGGUCAAUGGGCGAGAGCCUGAACCAGCCAAGUCGCGUGAGGGAAGACGGUCCUAUGGAUUGUAAACCUCUUUUGUCGGGGAGCAAAAAGGCCUCGUGAGGCCACAAGUGAGAGUACCCGAAGAAAAAGCAUCGGCUAACUCCGUGCCAGCAGCCGCGGUAAUACGGGGGAUGCGAGCGUUAUCCGGAUUUAUUGGGUUUAAAGGGUGCGUAGGCGGUCGGAUAAGUUAGAGGUGAAAUCCCGGGGCUCAACUUCGGAAUUGCCUCUGAUACUGUUCGGCUAGAGAGUAGUUGCGGUAGGUGGAAUGUAUGGUGUAGCGGUGAAAUGCUUAGAGAUCAUACAGAACACCGAUUGCGAAGGCAGCUUACCAAGCUACUUCUGACGUUGAGGCACGAAAGCGUGGGGAGCAAACAGGAUUAGAUACCCUGGUAGUC